rnacentral:tRNA from 1 species
GGGCCUGUGGUUUAGUGGUAUAACAUUCGCUUAGCAUGCGAAAGGUCCGGCGUUCUAUUCGCCGCUUGUCCA